CUCAUUCAUGUCUAUGUCCGCUGGCGUGAGUCAACGGAAUGUGCUGCUGCUAUCAGCCGCUCACUGAACAGAGCAGACGCAGUGGGGAAGUAAGACCUCACGCUUGCAGUACUGGCGAUAUUUGGAAUUUGGAAAGUUGCUAAGAGAGUGAUGGAGCUGGAGGCUGAUGAAUCCCCACACAUUUUUGUGUAUGUUGAUGAGGUAGGAUUCAACUUUACCAAAGUCAGGAGAUGUGGCUGUAAUAUUAUUGGUCACCGAGCCACUGUUGAUGUGCCAGGCCAGCGUGGAGGGAGCAAUACAAUGUGUGCUGACAUAUGUCCAGUGUUGGGAACGCACUACGUCUGCCAAUUACAUAAAUCCACAUUGCCGCUGAAAGCUUAAGGCUACAACCUGUCUGAGAUUUGCCACCAUGGUGAGGGAUAAAAAUGCAUUCCAUUUCUGGAAAUUUUCAAAUAAUUUCAUCCAGAAAUCAGAAAAGGGCGCAAAUAUACGGAAGAGGAUUAGGGCCAAGCAAUAAUAAAAAAAUAAAACCAUCUCGAGGU